AUUACAGAGUGCGAGGCUCAGUCGUGGCGUCUGCUGCGUGCUGGGCCGACCCUCCCACCCGUGUCGAUUUGUAUCUUGUUGCUUUGGCGGGCCGGGCCGCGCCGUCGCUGUCCGCACGGAUAUGCAUCGGCCGCCCACCGGUUUCGACUGGAGCGCGCCCGCCAAAGACCCCAUCAAAACUCAAGUUGUUUUUGUCGUCUUAGCAUUAUUAUGAAAAUUGAUAAAACUUUCAACAACGGAUCUCUUGGCUCUGGCAUCGAUGAAGAACGCAGCGAAAUGCGAUAAGUAAUGUGAAUUGCAGAAUUUAGUGAAUCAUCGAAUCUUUGAACGCACAUUGCGCCCCUUGGUAUUCCGAGGGGCAUGCCUGUUCGAGCGUCAUAACACCCCCCUCCAGCUGCCGUUGUGUGGCUGCGGUGUUGGGGCGCGUCGCGAUGCGGCGGCCCUUAAAGACAGUGGCGGUCCCGGCGUGGGCUCUACGCGUAGUAACUUGCUUCUCGCGACAGAGUGACGACGGUGGCUUGCCAGAACAACCCACGUUUGUCCCAGUCACAUGGGAUUCAUAGGUUGACCUCGAAUCAGGUAGGAAUACCCGCUG
rnacentral:rRNA from 1 species